CUUGAGGGAACCCAGCCACAGCGGCCGGUCGUCCGGCCGGUCCUGCCCGUACGUGGCCAGCAGCGCCUGCGCCUC
rnacentral:antisense_RNA from 1 species